CAACUACCCCCUCCAUCCCAAAAUUCUUGUCUUAGAUUUGUCUAGAUACAGAUGUAUCUAAUACUAAAAUGUGACUUGAUACAUCCGUAUCUAGACAAAUCUAAGAUAAGAAUUUUGGGACAAAGGGAGUACUUU
rnacentral:pre_miRNA from 1 species